GAUCGACCAUGGCAAAACCACUGUGAAGUGGUGACGCAAAGCUCCAGAGCCCACGUGGCUGGCUGGGCCGCCGAA
rnacentral:ncRNA from 1 species